GUGGGGACAAGACAGAAAAUGAGAGGGGCCAAGGAAUGAGAAAGUAUAAGAAGACUCUCUGAUGCAGUGAAAAAAGGCAUUAUUUAAGAUGGUGUUUCCCUUGUAUAGGGGACCCUAGAAGAUGUUAUAUACCAAGAAAACUCACUACACUGCCAGCCUUUAGAGAAGAAAUUGAAAAUACAUAUUCGGCAAUCUCAAUGACCAAAGUUACCCAAGCAGCAGUUGGUUAUACUAAUAAAUGUCUGGAAGAUAAUGGCCAUCACUUUGAGCACCUCUUGUAAUUGUAGAGGCCAAACAUAACUUGUAUCUCAUAAUACCUCAAUAAAUUU
rnacentral:lncRNA from 1 species